CGGCCUUCGGGUUGUAAACCUCUUUUAGUAGGGAAGAAGCGUAACAGUGACGGUACCUGCAGAAAAAGCACCGGCUAACUACGUGCCAGCAGCCGCGGUAAUACGUAGGGUGCAAGCGUUGUCCGGAAUUAUUGGGCGUAAAGAGCUCGUAGGCGGUUUGUCGCGUCUGCUGUGAAAACCCGAGGCUCAACCUCGGGCCUGCAGUGGGUACGGGCAGACUAGAGUGCGGUAGGGGAGAUUGGAAUUCCUGGUGUAGCGGUGGAAUGCGCAGAUAUCAGGAGGAACACCAAUGGCGAAGGCAGAUCUCUGGGCCGUAACUGACGCUGGGGAGCGAAAGCAUGGGGAGCGAACAGGAUUAGAUACCCUGGUAGUCCAUGCCGUAAACGUUGGGAACUAGAUGUGGGGACCAUUCCACGGUCUCCGUGUCGCAGCUAACGCAUUAAGUUCCCCGCCUGGGGAGUACGGCCGCAAGGCUAAAACUCAAAGGAAUUGACGGAAUCACUA
rnacentral:rRNA from 1 species